rnacentral:rRNA from 1 species
UACGAAGGGGGCGAGCGUUGUUCGGAUUUACUGGGCGUAAAGGGCGCGUAGGCGGCGGACCAAGUCGAGUGUGAAAGCCCCGGGCUCAACCUGGGAGGUGCGCUCGAGACUGGUUUGCUAGAGUUCGGGAGAGGAGCGUGGAAUUCCCAGUGUAGAGGUGAAAUUCGUAGAUAUUGGGAAGAACACCGGUGGCGAAGGCGGCGCUCUGGACCGAGACUGACGCUGAGGAGCGAAAGCGUGGGGAGCAAACAGG